rnacentral:rRNA from 1 species
UGGGGAAUAUUGCACAAUGGGCGCAAGCCUGAUGCAGCCAUGCCGCGUGUGUGAAGAAGGCCUUCGGGUUGUAAAGCACUUUCAGCGAGGAGGAAGGUGGUGAGCUUAAUACGCUCAUCAAUUGACGUUACUCGCGGAAGAAGCACCGGCUAACUCCGUGCCAGCAGCCGCGGUAAUACGGAGGGUGCAAGCGUUAAUCGGAAUUACUGGGCGUAAAGCGCACGCAGGCGGUUUGUUAAGUCAGAUGUGAAAUCCCCGGGCUCAACCUGGGAACUGCAUUUGAAACUGGCAAGCUAGAGUCUCGUAGAGGGGGGUAGAAUUCCAGGUGUAGCGGUGAAAUGCGUAGAGAUCUGGAGGAAUACCGGUGGCGAAGGCGGCCCCCUGGACGAAGACUGACGCUCAGGUGCGAAAGCGUGGGGCAGCAAACAGGAUUAGAUACCCUGGUAGUCCACGCUGUAAACGAUGUCGAUUUUGGAGGUUGUGCCCCUUGAGGCGUGGCUUCCGGAGCUAACGCGUUAAAUCGACCG